UAGGACUCUCGGCAAUGGAUAUCUCGGCUCCCGCAUCGAUGAAGAGCGCAGCGAAAUGCGAUAUGUGGUGUGAAUUGCAGAAUCCCGUGAACCAUCGAGUUUUUGAACGCAAGUUGCGCCUGAGGCCAACUGGCCAAGGGCACGUCCGCCUGGGCGUCAAGC
rnacentral:rRNA from 1 species